rnacentral:rRNA from 1 species
GACGAACGCUGGCGGCGUGCCUAACACAUGCAAGUCGAACGGAGUUAAGUCUUCGGAUUUAACUUAGUGGCGAACGGGUGAGUAACGCGUGAGGGAACCUACCUUUCAGUGGGGGACAACAGUUGGAAACGACUGCUAAUACCGCAUAACGUGCCUUGAGGGCAUCCUCGAGGUACCAAAGAUUUAUCGCUGAAGGAUGGGCUCGCGUCCGAUUAGAUAGUUGGUGAGGUAACGGCUCACCAAGUCGACGAUCGGUAGCCGAACUGAGAGGUUGAUCGGCCGCAUUGGGACUGAGACACGGCCCAGACUCCUACGGGAGGCAGCAGUGGGGGAUAUUGCACAAUGGAGGGAACUCUGAUGCAGCAACGCCGCGUGAGGGAAGAAGGUCUUCGGAUUGUAAACCUUAGUCAACAGGGAAGAAGCAAGUGACGGUACCUGUGGAGGAAGCCACGGCUAACUACGUG